GAGGAGUUAAACCUGACUUCGCUGGAAAAGGUAGACCUGACUUCGCUGGAAAAGGUAGACCUGACUUCGCUGGAAAAGGUAAACCUGACUUCGCUGGAAAAGGUAAACCUGACUUCGCUGGAAAAGAUGGACAAGGCGGUAACGGUGAAAAUAGCAACAAGGAAGGUGCAGAAUAAAAUACUGAAGCAGGAAAUGUGAAGCAAAAUACAGUGUGGAAGAUUAAGAAUUCUUAACUUUCUCCUGAUUUCAAAGAUCAAUAAAAACGUAAAUUAAAAC